CCUAACGACCACCAAUGCAGAGGGGAGCAGAAUUUAAGUUUAUGAUAGGACUCCAGCAACAGCAAAUUAUGUUAAAGACCACAAUAGCUUUCCAAUUAGAUGCUUGCACAUGUACUCCCUGGUUGCUGCUUACUAUAAAGCCUUGUCCUGAGAUAGAUAUUCCGGUCUUCCCCACCACCAAAACUGUCCUGUGUGAUGGUGGUGCGUUGGGGGGUAGGGGGUAAGCUAGCUCAAAUAAAAUAAAGACCCUGCUGUGCCAUGUUUAACUUUAUCUCCGGCCUCCUCCCACUAGAUGUCAGUAGAUCCUGUUUUCCCAACAGUGACAACCCAGAUGUCUCGACAUUAAAUGAAGGUCACCUUCUAAGGACCACUUUCAGAAACACUGUAGUUCCAAGGAGAGUAUUGUUGACCCAAGGGUAGGUAUGUGACCAUGUUAGUUAAAUGAAAUCAAAACGCUGACCUUCCCCUGAGUUCAAUCCCAAGAACCACAGGAAAUACAACUAACUAAACAAAUAAACAAGUUAGUAAGUGUGAUGGCUAAUCUUGUCUACUUGACUGCAACUGGAAUCCAAUGAAACCCAAGCUGUUGGGAACUUCUGUGAGAGAUUUUUUUGAACUAGAUUAUUUGAGGCAGGAAGACUCUAGGUGUGGGCGGUGUCUUCUGGCAGCAGCACAAAUGAAGGGAAGUGGAAGAAGGAAAAUUUCUGCCUUCUUGCCUUCACUCUUACUGGCAAGUUUGGUCUCUCAGGUGUCAGACAACAAUUGUUACCUAACCCUAGCCACAUCCUAAAUUCAAUGUGAUAGCCUCCCUUAAAUAUAGUUUCCCUCUGAAGUGCAGCAUUGAGAAAACACGUGAAACUUAAAAGGAGACAACACAUUUCAGGACUGAAGGAGAGAGAUGCUUUAGGAAACCUUUAGAUGAGCCAGUUAUCCCCGGAAGUUUAAGUAAAACAUUCCCAAGUUUUGUCCACUGAGAAUUUCAAGAACCAAUUUCAAGUUAUCUUUUGAGACAAGACUAUUUGAGCAUUAUCAAACUCACAGGGAAUGAGAUGAAAGGCAAGAUUUGGAUUCUUUUUAUAUAUCACCAUGGUCUGGCAGUUUCUAUGGUUAGGUAAAGCACUGUCCAGAGGUCAGCAUCUACAGGUGUACGUAUAAUUAAGAGGUAAUAAAAACUUUUUCACGGCCACCCGGAAGCCGCGGCUCAUACUAACAGUUAUUGCCGGUGGCCCUACGGUAAACGCUGUACUCCUGUACCGGUGCCCGUCAUGGCGACGCCCCCGAUACGGCGGGCCUUGGAUACGGUGGGGGAGAAAGUGCUGCGGUACGAGACCUUUAUCAGUGACGUACUGCAGCGAGACUUGCAAAAGGUGCUGGAUCAUUGAGACAAGGUAUAUGAGCAGCUGUCCGUAUAUCUUCAACU
rnacentral:lncRNA from 1 species